rnacentral:rRNA from 1 species
GACGAACGCUGGCGGCGUGCUUAACACAUGCAAGUCGAGCGGUAAGGCCCUUUCGGGGGUACACGAGCGGCGAACGGGUGAGUAACACGUGGGUGACCUGCCCUCAGCUCUGGGAUAAGCCUGGGAAACCGGGUCUAAUACUGGAUAUGACUCCAUGACGCAUGUUGUGGGGUGGAAAGCCUUGUGCGGCUGAGGAUGGGCCCGCGGCCUAUCAGCUUGUUGGUGGGGUGAUGGCCUACCAAGGCGACGACGGGUAGCCGGCCUGAGAGGGCGACCGGCCACACUGGGACUGAGACACGGCCCAGACUCCUACGGGAGGCAGCAGUGGGGAAUCUUGCGCAAUGGGCGAAAGCCUGACGCAGCGACGCCGCGUGAGGGAUGACGGCCUCGGUUGUAACC